GAACUGAAGAGUUUGAUCAUGGCUCAGAUUGAACGCUGGCGGCAGGCCUAACACAUGCAAGUCGAGCGGAUGAAGGGAGCUUGCUCCUGGAUUCAGCGGCGGACGGGUGAGUAAUGCCUAGGAAUCUGCCUGGUAGUGGGGGAUAACGUCCGGAAACGGGCGCUAAUACCGCAUACGUCCUGAGGGAGAAAGUGGGGGAUCUUCGGACCUCACGCUAUCAGAUGAGCCUAGGUCGGAUUAGCUA
rnacentral:rRNA from 1 species